UACGAAGGGGGCUAGCGUUGCUCGGAAUCACUGGGCGUAAAGCGCACGUAGGCGGGUUGUUAAGUCGGGGGUGAAAUCCUGGAGCUCAACUCCAGAACUGCCUUCGAUACUGGCGACCUUGAGUCCGGGAGAGGUGAGUGGAACUCCGAGUGUAGAGGUGAAAUUCGUAGAUAUUCGCAAGAACACCAGUGGCGAAGGCGGCUCACUGGCCCGGUACUGACGCUGAGGUGCGAAAGCGUGGGGAGCAAACAGGG
rnacentral:rRNA from 1 species